UCGAGAAUUUUUCACAAUGGGCGCAAGCCUGAUGGAGCGACGCCGCGUGGGGGAUGAAGGGUUUCGAUCCGUUAACCCCUGUCAUUUGCGAACAAACCUUGAUUGUGAAUAGCGAUCGAGCUGAUUGUAGCGGAAGAGGAAGGGACGGCUAACUCUGUGCCAGCAGCCGCGGUAAUACAGAGGUCCCAAGCGUUGUUCGGAUUCACUGGGCGUAAAGGGUGCGUAGGUGGUCGGUGAAGUUCGGUGUGAAAGCUCGGAGCUCAACUCCGAAACGGCAUUGAUAACGCAUCGGCUGGAGGGUCGGAGGGGAGACUGGAAUUCUCGGUGUAGCAGUGAAAUGCGUAGAUAUCGGGAGGAACACCAGUGGCGAAGGCGAGUCUCUGGACGACUCCUGACACUGAGGAACGAAAGCCAGGGGAGCAAACAG
rnacentral:rRNA from 1 species